rnacentral:misc_RNA from 1 species
UACGUAGGUGGCAAGCGUUGUCCGGAAUUAUUGGGCGUAAAGCGAGGGUAGGCGGUCUAGUAUGUCUGAGGUGAAAGCCCUGAGCUCAACUCAGGAAUGGCCUUGGAAACUGCUAGACUAGAGUCCUGGAGAGGGUCGCGGAAUUCCCGGUGUAGCGGUGAAAUGCGUAGAGAUCGGGAAGAACACCAGAGGCGAAGGCGGCGACCUGGACAGGCACUGACGCUAAACCUCGAAAGCGUGGAUAGCAAACAGG